CGCCUCUUGCACAAAUNGUAUAAGAGGUCCCGCCUGCCCUGUGACUAUGUUUAACGGCCGCGGUAUUUUGACCGUGCAAAGGUAGCGCAAUCACUUGUCUUUUAAAUGAAGACCUGUAUGAAUGGCAUAACGAGGGCUAAACUGUCUCCUUCCUUAAGUCAAUGAAAUUGAUCUCCCCGUGCAGAAGCGGGGAUAUAAACAUAAGACGAGAAGACCCUAUGGAGCUUUAGAUUAAAGUUGAAUUGCAUUAAAACUCUUAAUUAAAAGCACUAAUUAAGCAAAGCUCUACUUAAUAUCUUUGGUUGGGGCAACCACGGGGAAAAACUUAACCCCCGAGAGGAAUGGGACUACAAGCCUUAAAACAGAGAAUGUCAAUUCCAAGUAUCAAAACACUUUGACCUUAAUGAUCCGGCACCACCGAUCAACGAACCGAGUUACCCUAGGGAUAACAGCGCAAUCCUCUUUAAGAGUCCAUAUCGACAAGAGGGUUUACGACCUCGAUGUUGGAUCAGGACAUCCUAAUGGUGCAGCCGCUAUUAAGGGUUCGUUUGUUCAACGAUUAAAGUCCU
rnacentral:rRNA from 1 species